CGCCCGGUAGCUCAGUGGUUAGAGCGCUGGCUUGAAAAGCCAGAGGACCAAGGUUCGAUUCCCCGGCCGGGUGG